UCUGUCCUCCAAGCUCUUUCAGUUAGUCAGCAAGGCACCAGUAAGGGGACGAGAGAGGAACCAGGAGGCAGGAGCUGGGAAGGCUCGCUCGCUUCCUGCUGCAGGCCUGACUGAGGACAGCGCGGGGCUCUGUCUCCUUCCAGGCAUUUGCAUGCUUUUCAGAUUCUUUUGUGCUGAAGGGGAGGGCGUGUUCUCUUCGGCGGAGCCAAGGCUGCGUACAUGAGGCAGCCUUCUGCCCGCUGCAGAGCCUCCCGAAAGGAGCAAACGAGAGCAGCUGCAUGCGUGCAAACAACGACAGUCCUGAGCGCCUGUUCUCGUUCAACGCGGGCCUGGUGCAGAGAUGCCCCACCCAAGGCAGACGGGGCGGGCAUCGCUGAUCGCCUGCGCAGCCCAAUCCACCGCAGGCAUCGCCCUCCAGGCUCGCUCCUUCCCAGCCCCCUUUGGAGAAGGCGGCGGCGGCGGCAAGCGUGCAGCACCACCAGGGUCUGCAGACAAUGGCUUUGCAAACUCGGAAGCUUGGAGGGCCGCAACCCGGAACUGUAUGCAACAUAACCUCCGGCAGCAGCAGCAGUUACCUGCUGACUUGCCCGCCUGCUUCUCGCAGAGACAACGCUGAUGCUGCAGCCGGGCUGACACUUACCGGCGCGCGGAAGCCGCCAGGCCUUGCGAGGGCUGCAGGCACGCGGGGGGGGGGGCUAAAGGGAGCGGCGCGAGGCCAAGUCUGAGCGCGGAAAGCAGCGAAGGCUGGAAGCUCCGUCUGCCCAUUGUCAGCACGCUCAGAAAUUGGCAUGUGCACCUGGGUCACGUCAUUAAAUGGCUGCAGCAGCAGCAGGAAGGGGGCUGGUGCUCAGUGCAUUUGAAGGCAAAACGGAGCAAGGCAACACCGCCUCCCAAAGGGCGACCAUCAGGCACCCUGGUGCUAGCGGAGCAGCUUGUCCGGGUUUGGCGCAGGAUGCCUGGAGAGAGAGCGAGCUUGCAGGCAGGCGUGCACGGGAGAGGCGCCUUUCUUUCAAGGAAGUUGCCUGUAACAGGCCGUCCCUUCGCUACAAAACGCACCAUCGAAACUUGCCGGGUUCCCCUUUAUUUCGAAACCCCUGACGUAUGUUCUCCAGUGGUGUUUCCCCCCGCCCCGCCCCCUUCUUUUCGGUUUGGACAUUUUGCUCCUAGCAUCUCCAGGAAACGCGGGGCGUAAAGAGCCGAAUUCUUAAGCCAUCCCUGAAAACACACACACACCGAUCUGUGUUAAGAGCGGAAAGCCCUCUGCACAUGCCCAAGAGCACUCUUCUUUCUUUAUUGCAUAUGAGUCGCCUAGCACCGAGCUCCGGAAGCAAGUUCCGGCUGAAAAAUCAAGCCACGCCGGGCACAGAUCUCCCUUCAAUUCAAUGAAUGAAAUCCCAACCCGACCCUCUCCUCCCCCCUCGACGCACAUCCGCCCCAGCCCCACCCCCGUUGCACAAGGGGGCACACAGAAGCAAGUCAUCACCCUCUCUCUCCCUGCUGGUGAAUUUCCUUCUCGGCAACAGCGCCUUGCCCCUCCUCCCGCGUGUCAUUCGUUACAGACGCAGCGUGACGGGGAGGGAGCGGCGAACCGAAACCUCGUGGGUGUCUGCCGGAGCAAGGUGGUGCUGCUCGGUAGCCCAGAUUGCAUCUCCAUAGGCUAUGAUACUCCAAACACACCUGUUUACUUUAACCCAGCCUGCUGAAACCAAGCAGAAGGAAGAUAAGGCAGCGCCGAUUUUAAGCACAUCAGAUUUUUGGGAAAUGGACCUCGAAUUUCCAGACGUAUGGCAACCCUACCCAGAAGUGAAAAACAUCCCACAAAGCAACUGGGCAGGGCGGAAAAGGGUGUUUGCAAGCUUUUUCAAUGGGUGUUCCAAUAAUACGCGAUUUCACACAAGCACACAAUGACCCGGAAAAUGAACCCCCCCUCACCCCAUGCAAACAGGGAGCUGCCUGUACAUGGAGUAAUAUUUUGGGACUUUGCAGAAUCAAAUAUAUGAUUAACA